rnacentral:lncRNA from 1 species
GUUUGAGACCUGCCUCAGCAACUUAGAAACUUCACAAAACCCUGUCUCAUAGUAAAAAGUGCUGGUAUUGUAGCUCAGUGGUAAAGCGCCCCUGGGUUCAAUCCCUAGUACAAAAUAAAAAGAUUAAAACUAUAUGAUCAUAUUAUCAGAUGCAGAAAAAACAUUGACACAGCUCAGGAGGCUGAGGCAGGAGUAUCAUGAGUUCAGAGCCAGCUUCAGAAAAAGCAAAGUGCUAAGCAACUCAGUGAGACCCUGUCUCUAAAUAAAAUACAAAAUAGGGCUGGGGAUGUGGCUUAGUGGUCGAGUGGCCCUGAGUUCAAUCCCUGGUACAAAAAAAAAAGUUUCCACUUAUGAUAGCAUCAAAAGGAGUAAAUACCUAGGAAUAAAUUACACUUGAAACUCAAAAACAUUGAUGAAAGAAAUUGAAGAUGUCAUAAAUAAAUGGGAAGACAUCCUAUGUUCAUGAGUUGAAGGAAUUAAAAUUGCUAAAACGUGAAUACCGCCAAAGCCUUGGGUUCAAUACAGUCCUUAUCAAAAUUCCUAUAGCAUGUGUAGGGAUUCAGCUUGACAUCACUGUAGCCCUCUUAAAUUGGAACCACCGUGAUUGCCCCUGAAUAACCCUGUUCAUUCUCCAACCCUAUAGUUUCCCUAGCUUACUGUAAACAAAGAAAAUCAUUAACCUAUCAUGUGAAGCUUUGUGAUUGGACUCUGGGACUUUUCAGUACCUGAAGUCUUUGAUUUUAGCUUGAGAUAAACUAUGUGCAGUCAGUUUUGUCCUGGCAUUAUGUAUACCUUUAUUUCUGGCACAAAUUGUGGGGAUCCAC